AGGGCACCACCAGGAGUGGAGCCUGCGGCUUAAUUUGACUCAACACGGGAAAACUCACCCGGCCCGGACACUGGAAGGAUUGACAGAUUGAGAGCUCUUUCUUGAUUCAGUGGGUGGUGGUGCAUGGCCGUUCUUAGUUGGUGGAGUGAUUUGUCUGGUUAAUUCCGAUAACGAACGAGACUCUAGCCUACUAAAUAGAUCGUCGGCUUACAAACGCCGGCGAGACUUCUUAGAGGGACAGGCGGUGAUUCAAUCGCACGAAACAGAGCAAUAACAGGUCUGUGAUGCCCUUAGAUGUCCGGGGCCGCACGCGCGCUACACUGAAGUGAUCAGCGUGCUUUUUCAACCUACUCUGUCAAGAGUGGGGAACCCAAUGAACCUUCUUCGUGAUUGGGAUAGGGGAUUGUAAUUGUUCCCCUUGAACGAGGAAUUCCCAGUAAGCGCGAGUCAUAAGCUCGCGUUGAUUACGUCCCUGCCCUUUGUACACACCGCCCGUCGCUACUACCGAUUGAAUGUUUU
rnacentral:rRNA from 1 species